GUGGCGGAAUUGGCAGACGCGCCAGACUUAGGAUCUGGUGCCGAAAGGCGUGCAGGUUCGAGUCCUGUCCCUGGCA
rnacentral:tRNA from 1 species